rnacentral:tRNA from 1 species
UGUCAAGGGAUGGGAAUCGAACCCACGACCUUCUGCUUUCCGGGCAGAUGCCAUGACCACUAGGCUACCCUGGAC